GACGUAGGGUGCAAGCGUUGUCCGGAAUUAUUGGGCGUAAAGAGCUCGUAGGCGGUUUGUUGCGUCGGCUGUGAAAUCCCGAGGCUCAACCUCGGGUCUGCAGUCGAUACGAGCAAACUAGAGUGUUGCAGGGGAGACUGGAAUUCCUGGUGAUAGCGGUGAAAUGCGCAGAUAUCAGGAGGGAACACCGGUGGCGAAGGCGGGUCUCUGGGCAACAACAUGACGCUGGAG
rnacentral:rRNA from 1 species